rnacentral:lncRNA from 1 species
AAGCGAAGAAAAAAGAAAAACAAGAAACAUCUUCCCAAUAUAUACAUUCAUACAUACAUAUGUUUCUUUUCUUUAAUUAUAAAUGCAGUGACAUACAAGAACAGUAGCUUAGCCUAUAUGAAUAUAUAAAUUGUUAUGCAAAUGUUUGGUGAUGUUUCUUAAUUGAUGAAGGAUGAAGCAUAUAUCCAAAAAAAAAAUCAACAAAAUAAUUAACCUAUCAAAAUUAAGUUAAAAGAGAAGAUCUAUAGAUUAUAUAUGUUUUUCCUUUUAAGUGGCAGCUACAUGCAUGUCGAAAGUACUAUUUUAUGUGAAGAAAUUUGAAUUAUAGCCACCAAGACUUAUACAUAAACUCUUUGCAUAUAUGUGGUUCCUCUUUUACUUACGAUGCAUCAAACAGUUGCAUGGCUACAAAGAUCAGAAAAGAAGUAUAGAGAAGCUAGCAAGUAAUUAGACAUGAACAAUCUUGAGAUGGUUUCUGAGAACAAUAAAUACAUGCAUAAACACAAAACUAUGAUUCCUAGUCGCUGUAAUUCUAAUUAACACAAACUGUUUUGAUGGAGAAUCUGUUUAUGAUUCAGCUGCUUGAGAUUGAGGUGUAAAAGAGAAAAUAGUACGGAGCAUUGGGAAAAGAGAUUUUUCAUUUCAUUUCACACUAUACGAUUCAAGAUCUAUUGAGGGUAGACCUACUCAAACAAACAAAAACAAGUUUAAUUAAGGAGAUAAUACACACUUAUCAUAACAGCAGUUUACAGCUUCAAGAAAACUAAAGCAAAGUUCAAAACUUAACAAGAUCUACGAAAUAAGGAACACCUUUGAUGCAAGCUUAAAAGGAAAAAAGGAGAAGAGAUAAUAAGAUGAUCGGACCAAGAUGCUUGAUUCCCCAAAGAAGAAAGCAAGAAAGAAAGACUUUCCUUUCAAGUAGCCUUAAAAGGCAAAAGUUUCACUGAAAACCGAGAGAGCCGAAAAGAAAACUCUCAAACAUGGCCUUCUUGCUUAUUGUAUCUCAAUUAUCUUUGUUUUUUUUUUUUUUCUUUCUUGUUCUUGGAAAAAAUGAUGAGGGUUUGUGGGUAAUGGAGGAUUUGGUAAAGAAAGUGAAAGAAAGAAAGGUGUAGUUGUGGGUACAAUGAUGGCGAUGGAGAAGGUAAGGAGCAGAAGGGGAGGACAUGAUGAUUGCUGUUUCCCUCUGGCGUUGAAACAAAGAGAGAAAAUAUUCAAGGUUUUUUGUGCAUAUGUCAGAUAGAAAGAUAGAAAGAGAGAUCAUUCAUGAAUGAAACCCUAGCUAGGCCCUUUCUUUCUUCUUUAGAAUAUACAAAUAAUAAUAAUAAUAAUAAUAUUUUAC